UACGGAGGGUGCAAGCGUUAAUCGGAAUUACUGGGCGUAAAGCGAGUGUAGGCGGCCACGUAAGUCGGUUGUGAAAUCCCCGGGCUUAACCUGGGAAUUGCAGUCGAUACUGUGUGGCUAGAGUCUGAUAGAGGGAAGUGGAAUUCCGGGUGUAGCGGUGAAAUGCGUAGAUAUCCGGAGGAACACCAGUGGCGAAGGCGGCUUCCUGGAUCAAGACUGACGCUGAGGCUCGAAAGCGUGGGGAGCAAACAGG
rnacentral:misc_RNA from 1 species